rnacentral:lncRNA from 1 species
UCUGAUUUUGUGUUUCUUGUCAUGUUUUCGUGUUUUUUUUGUGUGUGAUGCAGCGGGGCAAGGUGCAAAACAGAGGACUGUGUCCAUGGUGGCCCGUCGUCUUGUUAUGUCUGAUGACGAAGGUAUUGUUGCUAUGUAAAUCGCUUAUAGUAAAAUGUGUGGAUGUCAUAGUGAGCUGAAAGUGUACAGUUUUUCUAGUUUACGAUGCCAAUCUUGUGUGAUGCAGGUGGUAGCUGUAUGAAGGAUUGUAGAAACCAGAAUGCAGGGAAGAGGCCUUGUGUUGUUCAAUCUGGCAUGAGAGGUGUGUUUAUGUGUCCUUUUUGUUGGCCUCCCUUUUUUUUCAGACACGAGACCGAAUGAUGUAAAAAAGUUCAUUCUAGCAUGAGAGCACAGAACCGAAUCAAGGACAGCCUAACGGUUUUACAAAAUCUUUUUUCAUGCAGAUUCAUAUUUGAAGACAUUAAAUCUUGAUGAUGCGGCCCUGUGUAUAACAAUCCUGUGAAGGAGCACCGAGCCAUUGAGGACAAAAACAUUAUGUUGGACAGAAUUACAGUUUAUGCCCAAGCAGUGCUCGACACCGUCCGUUCUUUCUAAGACAAUGGCGAUCCAGAGCCAAAUGUUGUUUAUUUUGGGCAGACGGAGGCUAAGUUGCCUAAAAGGAGGUAUGUCAUGUCAGCAAGUUUCACUGGCAAUGGUUAAGUGGUUGCCUCCCGCAGCCCCCACCAAUCCCAUUGGUGAAUAAGUUCCACACAUGGAUAUUUGGAGGCAAUGAUUUUGACAUGGACAGGUAUUGAAACUAGUGGCUAAUCAUAGAGGGUCACAUUUUUUUGUGUGGGAAACAUGUUUCAUGCUGCUUUGAAAAAACAUAUUUAUUAAGAGGGAGUGUCUCAAUCAUUUUACAUGUUGAUGUUACAGCAAAGCAGCUGGCACUGGGUGCAUGAUACAUUUUUCUAUUUUGGCGACACCAAUAUCUGAAUUGUGGCUGUUUUUUUGUCUUAUAAAGUGUAUGGUUUGUUCACGCACACCCGAGGUUUCUGAGGGUGAACGCUGUAUGUGUUCACCAGCAGAUGCUCAGGGUGCAUCGACUUGAUCACGAGGUAGCUGCACUUGCUUUGAGGAGGUUUCAUCAGAUUGAUGUGGGCGCACAAUCUGUCAAUAAGUACAUGUGGCGGGAAGUGCUCGAACCUGAUUUCUCGGUUAGUAGAUGUUCUUUUGCCCCUAUCUUGCAUUUGUUUUCAAUAGACACAUGCUCUUGCAGGGGAGAAAGUUUUGUACAUAAAAGCGGUACAACUCCAACUUGCACAUGCCAAUCAUGACAUCACGGCUUGAAGCGCACGCACGCACGCACCUGAUGCAAUUGUUUUAUCAUUGCAGUUUUUCGUUCUUGUCAUUCUUGAGCAUGGAUGGGUUGCAUACAUGUGGGAUAUGCUCAAGGAGAUUCAUAUACUGGACCCAUUAUGUGUUCAAGUUGCAGGAGCAGAGCAGAGGCAUAUUGUCCACCAAGAGGCUGUGUUGCAGUUACACACAACAUUAUUCAGUUGCCUCAAUGAUUUUUUUCCGAAAUGGCAUUGUCCAUCCGAGAAAUGGAAGCGCAGGUUCCCUAAGAUAACAUGUGACAUCUUCUCAAGGUAGAUGAAGAAAUUCUAACUGUAAAACUCUGUGCUCCCUAAGCCCUUUCCAAUUUUCGGAAUGCAACUUCUGAAGAAUCAUGUGUUUGUUGGGUUGCCUUUCAUUUUUUCAGGGAUGAGUCAGGAUAUACGAACUACAUACGCAGUGUCGAACACAUAUACCUCUUGGUCCAGCCGGGCACCUGAGGAUCGUCUUUGCCAGUUGACUGCUCUGAGUUCGGCGCUGACAGGGCCGUCCCCUUGCAAGUACUGUUUAAAUCCGCUUCUACUGUCAGUGUUGAGUCAUCCGCAUCGUUCAUACUGGACUCGGAGGGGGUACAGAUCAGAGUUUCAGUCGGUCGGUUCCCUGCGUACCAUGGAGUUGCCGCCGGCUAGAUUCAGCAUGGGAAACCCAUGGAAAACGACGUUACUCUGUGACAUGUUACGUACCGUUUCGAGGCGGACAUGUACCAACAGAGCAGACAGAAGCUGGGCGUGAAGUUACCCCCGUUUUCACGGCGGCGUCUCCGUAUGAUCCUAUUCAAUGAUCGCAUCACACCUUCCUCUGUACGCCCUUAUUGAUUACAUGCAUGCACGUGUCACUGCCUUAUUGGCACACCUACCAGGACCAGGCGAGCCCGGGCACUCUAUCGCCGCUCUCAGCAAUAAUCGGGUAAUUAGGCGUUUCCAAGGCUAGCUAGCCGGCGAGCUCAGGGCUCGAGCAGAGAGUGCAAAGGCACAAAGACACAGUGACUGACUGACAAAGACUGCUGCAUUUUUCAGUAAAAAAUUCUGAUGAAGUGCGCGAGCUUGCCGAGGUCAGACAGGCCACCACCAUGGACGACUAGCACGCACCUCAAGGCGGCCCUUUUGUGGCCCUCUGGGUUUUCACUGACAGACAACUUUCCCGCUCGCUAAACGAGCCUUGGUGUAUGGGAUCCGCAUGGAGACACGACUGUACUAGUACUAUUAAUCAGCGAAGAACUAACGCAUUAUCUUGGUUGGGAGACGUAUUAAACUUUUUUUCCAUUGUUGUUGGUAGCCAAUGUUUUGAUGUUGGAGCACCUAGAUCAAUAUAGGUAUGUACUCCUUUCGUUUCUAAAUACAAGUCACUUUACAUAUUUUAAUAUGAACUAUAUACGGAUGUAUAUAGACUAGAUUAAAAUACAUAUUUCACUCAUUUUGCUUCGUAUGUAGUCUAUAUUUAAAUCUAUAAAAAAGACUUAUAUUUAAAAAUGGAGGGAGUAUAUAUCAGAGUGUUGAAAAGUGAUGGUUCGACGAAUAGGAUCAAGACAAAUAUGUAAACAUAUACUACCAUGCUUCCUAUCAUUUGUGCUUUCUCAGAUUUCUAUUAGAAUGAUCAACUGUUCGUUUAAGAAGUCCCUAGGAAGAGUUGCUUGCUACUUCCUCCUUUCCGGUUUAUAGGUUUUAUCUUAAAAUUUUAGUUUUUCCAUUUUAUAAGACUCAAUUUGAUUGUUCCCCAUCAUAUAUUCAGACUUCAAGGUGCAUUAAAUCAUUGCAUGCAAGUAUUAAGAGAAAACUUCGUAAACAUAAUUUUUUGAGGAAAACAAGAGCAUUAAUUGGAUGCUUUUGCAAACUACAAAAAAUAUUCCAUCACUCAUCAUCUACCUUGGUUGGUGAGAUUUUUGAAUUGAGCCUUAUAAACCGGAAAUGAGGGAGUAUAUAUAUUACCUCCAUCCUACAUUUGUGUAUAUACUGUUGUAUCUAACAGUAACAAUUUUCAGCAUUAGAUCCAUCCAUAUCUAAACAAAUUCAAGACAAGUAAUUCGAGAUGGCAUGGACCAUGGAUUAUCUAUGUAAGAGUAGAUGCGAUGACGGGCGAUAGACAGAUCGACGGACGAUGCUGAUGCUGUAGCCUGUAGCUACAGAGAAGUGAGAGCAGCCAUGCUAUAAUAUGUAUGGUGGAACAGUUCGUGGGUGAUAUAUACGUCGAUGGGGUGAUAAAUCGCGGGACCAGCAUUAACGAGUACAGUAAUUAGAGGGUGUUUAAAGGGAAAAGCGUGACCGUCGUAAUGGAGCAAUGAUGGAUGAGGGGCUGGGCCUGGCUCAUCAUGGAUUUGUGGCCCUUGGCAAAGCCGGGGAACUGCUGACAAGUUGACGUACAAGCAUGUUAGAGAAAAUCCGAUAUGUGAAAAUUUUGACGUACAAGUCAUUUUUCGGAGGAUGAACGCAAGAUGUGAGCAUCACGACAAUAUGGUGGAUGUUCGGAGGCUAAUCUCAUUUACACCCUUUUUAGCCAACAAAGAAGUGAUAAUAUUAUGUAGGUUCCCUAAUAGUAACAAAUGAAGGACCGAAUAUUUAUUGUCGAAAACCUCAUCAUGAGGGAAAUGCACCUUCGAAACUGCUUAGAGAUUUUGCUCGCAUGAUAUGCAACAACAAGGAGAACCAUUACCUAGACAGGUGCGAAUGGAGGUUAUGCAACUUUUGAAGCGAGCUUGGAAAGAAAAAGGAAUGCUCCCAAGGGUACAAACCUUUGCAUAGAUGCUUCUAAGGAAGGCUAUAUCAACACACAAGAGGGAAGGUAGAUGCUCCUCUCAUGUCAAGAUAUGUUGUGCUCGCAUGAACCUAUUUUUCACUUGCUCUUAUGCAAAAGCUCGAUGGUUCUUCCAGCCUGGGUAUGUUAUAACUGGACAACUAUCACAAAACUGUGCUUCUAUUCCUAAUCCCUCCAUCAUUCUGUCCAUUAUAAAUUCCAAUCACCCACAAGCUACUACCACAAACAUUAUGAAUUUCUUAUGGUGCAUCUGAAAAGUAAGGAAUGGAAAAAAAUUGGUUGGAAGCUAAACACUUCCUUGCAGGUAUGCCACAUAAUGUAGCCCGUUAUCAAAACCAAUGUCAGAGGAGGGACAAAGAAAGCAUCAGACCAAUAGUGAUGAACAAAAAGAUAUAUAAAAAUAGACAUUGCCUUUAUAGGAUACAAGGUUGAAAGCACAUCCACUCCGUUGAUCGUUUUGAUAAUUCAGGUCAAUAUACAUAUUGUUGGACUAAUGUUUUCCUUAAGUACAUUUUAGGAUAAGUUUAACUUGGGCACGACUUUGGGAUAUGAAAUGGCACCCCUCAGAUGUUAAGGACAUGUGUUGGCCAAAUUUCAAAACUCUAUUUAUAUUUUAGUUUUUCAAGAUCACAUUGGGUCCAUAGGUAUGCCAAUGCUAUCAAAAGUGGAUAAGGUUGUGAUCAUUGACUCACUGCUCACGUGCUUAGAGAUCGAGCUCCAAAAGCCCAGUCAAACUCUAACAUUGCACUAUGUCCAAAACCCUAAGUCAAACUCGGUCCCACCGAUCCACUCACAUCCGGUCUCACCGAGUUGGCCCUUUGGUCUAGCGAAGAGCGAGUGUUUGACAAAAAACUACCACUUUAGGGGUCGUCGUCCCACAGAACUACCACUUUUUGAAAAGUGGUCGAAAACUACCAAAAAAUCUUAAUUUUGUGACUAAAAACUACCAGUUUCAGGUAAUAGACAGUUUAAACGAUUUAAACAUGUUGACCGUUCAGUUGACCGUUAUUACAGGUGGGACCCACACGUUAUUCUUCUUCCUCCUCUCUCUCUAUCUUUCUUUGGCAUUUUCACAAACAGCUUCUGUGCAUGGGAGGGAAGGAGGUCAAACUCCGGUGACGCGCCCGCCGGGGAGACGCCCCUGCUGCACGCUGUGGUCGCCAGCUCCUUGCUGCCCGGCGAGGCGUCCUCCACGUCGUCGUCAUCCUGGUUGCCGCCGAAGGCCGGCUCUCCCUCCCCCGGAAUCAGGACCACCGUCGCGGCGAGCCCUUGCUGCCGGAAGCUAGUCCGUCGGGGCUGGCGGCGAGCAGGUUGAGCAGCUCGUCGCCGACCAGAUCCGCUGCCUCGCGUCCGCCGCCUCGCCGGAGUUCCCUUCAGUCGCCCCUCAUCUCCGCCUCCCGUCGCUGGUGCCUAGCGCCGUCGCCCGCUUGUCUUGGUGCGCGAGACAGCCCAUGCCCCUGCGCCUGGAGAGCUAUCGCGUGUGGGCACUGGGCGGCAGUGGCAAGUCAUCGGACUCGCGUCCUUGGCAGUCGGUCCGGGCGCGUCCGCUACAGGCCAGUGGCGCGCCUGCUUCUUGGGGGCCUUGGGCGCGUCCGUGACAGAGACGGGAGCAGGCGUCGGACCCCGGGAGUCCAUCGGCGGCGAGACGGGGGGGACGGGUCCGGCGGCGAGACGGGGGACAGGUCCGACGACGUCGAUCUGCAGCGCGGGUGGGGGUGAGAGGUGGGAGGCGACGGCUGCGGGUGGGCCAGUCUCCCCUGGCAUUGACUUUUCAGCCACAUUAGCCCUGACGGGUGGGCCAGUUUUGUCAGUUUUCUGUUUAAAUCGUCUAAAACGAUCAUCAAGUGAAACUGGUAGUUUUUAGUCACAAAAUUAAGAAUUUUUGGUAGUUUCCGACCACUUUUUUAAAAAGUGGUAGUUCUGUGGGACUACGACCCUUAGAGCGGUAGUUUUUUGUCAAACACUCAGCGAAGAGCACUUGCCAACCUUCUAUUGCUAAUUGAAAUCCAAUCAAAAAAUUUGAUUGGUUUCAGUCGGUGACACCGAAGCAUGGAAAAUGCUUAGGUCAUCACAUCUCGGAGCAAUCUAAGGAUUUCACCUGGUCUCGCCGAAACGCCUAAAGUUCAAACCUUUUGUACAGGUCAGUCUCACUGAGUAGUUUCACCUGGUCCCACCAAACUUUGCAUAAAGGUGUGGAACGGUUGGAUUUUUGGUGUUGUCUAUAUAUACCCCACCCACUCUACCAAACUGUUAGGGAGCAACCAAAGCGGUUCAUAUCCAUUUUUUUGAGAGAGAACUCUCCAUCCUUGUGUUGAUAUCAAAGGAAUUCCACUCAAACCAUACAACCUUUGAUUUCUAGUCACCUCAUUGCUUUCCACCCAAAUCCUCUCCUAUCCCAAAGCUAAAAUCUGCGAGAGAGUGUUUGAGUGUUGAGGAGAUUAUCUUUUGAAGCACAAGAGUAAGAAGUUCAUCAUCAACAACCCCACCUAUUACCUUUUGGAGGAUGGUAGCUUGACUAGGUGUGCUUGGGAGUCUCUGAAUCGUGUGGAGAAACCAAGAAGUUUGUAAAGGCUAGGAGAUCGCCAACUUCGUGAAGAUCUACCCUGAGUGAGGCUAGUCCUUUGUGGACGUAAGACAUGAUGGGAUAUACGAGGUUACUUCUUCGUGGAUCCUUUGUGGGUGGAGCCCUCCGCGGACUCGAUUCCUCCAUGGAAUCUCACUACCUUAUCCUUGAGAUUGAAGUCUCCAUCAACGUGGACGCAAGAUAGCACCACCUAUCAGAACCACGGGUCAAAAAUCUUUUGUGCCAACCCUUGUUUGCGAAUCUCUCAAAUUCUACUCCCUAAUUAUUUGCAUUUGCAUGAUCGUUUCUUUCCGCUGUCCAACUCUAGACAUGCAUGUGUAGGGUGUUUUUGUUACCUAGCUUCUGCCAAAAUCUGCGUAAAAGUGAAAAAGCAUUAAAAUAUCCAUCCCGCCCUUCUCUUGACACACCCUCUGAAUCCUAGAAAGGCGUACACAUAUGUUGCAUUGAAGACAAAUGCAUGAUCCUCAUCUACAAAAACAGCCAAAGCAUCACAAUGUACACAAGUAGGUAUCUUCAUUACUCCAGAGAGAGAACAUCAAGAAGAGGGAUUUUUCAUAUGAGCGGUAGGUGCACACGAUUAAUCCCGCAUUUAGGCGCUGUUCGGCAGUCCGCCCGCUCCAUGAAAAUUGAGAAUCUCGGGAGUACCGUUUCCUUGGCUCUGCACUUUUUAACUAGAAACUCCGUCAGCUCCGGGAGCGGAGGGGCUCCGAAUAGGCCCUUAAGCUAAAGCACUACCGCUCCAGGUUCCAACAUAGAUAAUCAAAUCCAUGUCAGCGACUGCAUAUUACUUCCAUGGUGCCCAAACAUAUUUAAACCUAGGCAGCGACUGCUUCAAUGAAUCUUCGCCACAAUCCUAAGUAUUUAUCAUUGAGAGACUCUCGCAAGGAAAUCAUUGAGAGACUCUGUCAUGAUACUCACAAUGGUAAAAAUUUGUUCUCGGAUCUCUACUCUUGAAUUGGACAGAUCUGAACUCUAACUACCAUCACGAGCAUAGUUCAUUUACGUAGGACUGUAAAUACAGGGCUCCACUUGUCAAGAAAAGAAUAAUAGUCGCGUGUCUGCAUGCUGACGCAGGUGCCUCGAUCGACAGAUCUUUUUGUCGUGAUCACGCAUGCACGCACCCGCGAGUUGCCGUGUGAUUUUACUUGCGUGCGACGGGCUACACCUACCACGUACCGUAGCCUGCUGCCUGCACCGCCGUAGCCUGGCCGCGUCGCCGAUCGAGCGGCCACGGAGAACCAGCACGGCGUCGUUUUCCCAUGGAUCUGACCGCUGAUAUAUUUGACACACGUUCGCACUGUUCACUCCGCUCGCGUGCACUUUGCGCCCGUACGUCCGGUCACGACCAGCACACACGUUACGAAAUUUCGGCGCGCACCCUCGGUGGAUUCUGAAGAAGCUCCUGUUUCUGGCGCCCAAGAAGUUCUUGAACAGCAUGUAAAACCUACAGAGGAGUCGUCAAAUUUGUGCGCGCGAGUGCGACGUGGGUCUUUGGUCGGAAGGCUUGUGCCGACUUCCGAGGCCACCGUGCCGCCCGGACCAUGGGCGGGUCCUGAGGCCACGACUCCAACGAGUCAUACUGGUCACCACGCCACGGCGCCUGGGCGCGUUGCCGUCCAAGGAAACAGUGGCUUGCACGCCACAAGGAAAGAGCCACCGGAGUUCCGACUGAGCCCUGCCGACGACGCGCGGAGCGCAGAUGGAAAACCGAGGCAGGCGGCGUUGACGCAGAUGGAUCGACGCCAAUUAAUUUGGACGCAAGAGACUAGACACAGAUGCAAUGGAUCAUACGCACUUCCUCCGUCCAUAAUAUAACACCGUUUUUUACACUAGACUAGUGUUAAAAAUGGUCUUCUAUUAUAGGACAGAGGAGUAGUUCAUACUACGUACUAGAUGCAGCAGUGACAGAUGGACAUGGGAUGAUGGACAGAUGCGAUCGUGUCUCUUCUGCUACAGAGAAGUGAGCGCCGCUGUACGCUUGGAACAGUUCUUGGGUGAUCGAUGCGGGAGCACUGUUAUGGAGUGAUUAAAGGGAAAAGCGUCGCCUUCGUCGUGAUGGAGCCAUGAUGAGGGGAUGGGCCUGGACCCGUCGUGCACUCGUGCCCCAGCCGGCAAAUAUAAAAGGAAUGACUGUUCGUUCAUCUGGGGCUGGCUGGGCCGGCACACUGUAGAUGCAGACAAAGUGUUCCUGUGCUCGCGAGCUCAAUUGCAUCCGUGAUGAACAUUAAAUUUUAAAAAGGACUGUGACUGAUGGUUAGCAACAGAUCCGGACGACCUUCGAUCGAUCCUUCCGUUCGUCCCGCUGCGUUGUUCUUGCAUGCAUGCAUGUUUAUCUUAUUUUUUUUCCGUGCGUGUCCACUCCACUAGCAGUUAAUUAGAGUUGCUAAUCAUAUACAUGCAAAAAAACGAAAAUGAUGAUGUCAUCAAAGAUUCUUCCCAAUGCGAAAAUUCAAAAUAUUUUGUAGCACAAACCGUCGCUCCGAUUAAAAAACUGUUUUCACGUAACGAGAUCUUCAAAACUAGAUCCCAUUUUAAUAUGUUUCAACGACUUUUUUUUGGGUCAGAAGUUACCACGUGUUCUACACAAUUUAUCAUAUCUGUGGUGCCUAAGUUAUCAUGUUGUUUACACAAAAAUUACCGGGGCAUGAAAAAGUUUCUCCAACCUUCUAUUCACAAGCACAUGCGUGCAUGCAUUAGAAGAAAUUUUUCAUGUCAUCCUAGUUCUCCUUAUUCAAAGCUUCAAAAUGUUUUAUAACUCAAAUCGUCGGUCCAAUCAAAAAGUCGAUUUCACAUAAAGUAUCUAUCACGACGAGACCUUCGAAACUAGAUCUCAUGUUGAUAUGUUUUGACAGACUUUUUUCAUGCAAAUAGUUAUCAGGCCCGGGCUAAGUAAGUUAUCAGAUCUGAUGUGUGUCUAUUAUCAUGCUAUUUACACAUGAGUAACCAUGGUACAUUUUCAACAACUAUUUUUUUUGGACAACGCGGUGUUUGUGCGUGAGUUACCAUGCCCGCGGUCCGUAUAUUACCAUGUUAUUUACGCAUAAGUUAUCAAGGUUAUGUUUUCAAACAAUUGCCUCUCCCUGCCAUCAAAGUUAUCACGGGUGUUUGCACAUGAUUUAUCAAGUUUACGGUGCAUAUAUUAUCAUGGUAUUUAUAUGGAAGUUAUCAGGAGGGGUUAUGUUUUCAAACAACUUCAUCCCCUCCCAACACCCCGGACCGUAAGUUACUGUGGUAUUUAUGUGUAAGUUGUCACGUAUACGGUGCAUACUGUACCAUGCUAUUUGACGGAAGUUGUCGGUGAUGUUUUUAAACACCUCCUCCCCCGGGUCAAAGUUAUCACUGUAUUUGUGCAUGAGUUAUCAGGUUUAUGUUGUGUAAAUUAUCAUGCUAAUUACGUAGAAGCUAUCGGGUGAUGUCUUCAACUUUUUCUCCCUGUCGAAGUUAUCACGAUGUUUGCGCAUGAGUUAUCAUGUCUGUGGUGUGUAAAAUAUCAUGCUAUUUACGCAUAAGCUACCGGGGGUGUAUUAUACCAUAUGUAGCCUGAUACCUACAAAAAUUAACCAUGUUGAUAACUAUAGUACAUCUAGCCCGAUAACUACAUAGUAAGCAUGUUGAUAACUAUAGUAGAUAUUGCCCGAUAACUAUAAUAGAUCUUGCCCGAUAACUACAAAAUAGCCAUGUUGAUAACUAUAGUACAUCUAACCCGAUAACUACAAAAUAACCAUGUUGGUAACUAUAGCGCAUAGUAACUAUGUUGUGAGAUGGUGGAUCUUGCCACUCUUCAAAAUUGAUGCAGAAGAGGAUGGGCGUUGGACAUUCCUAAUCUACUCAACUCCUCCCAAAUCAAGUACACGCUGAAGCAUGUUUUUAGAAUUGAUUGAACAUUGUUUUUCUUGAUCUAAGAUUAUUUCUUAUGAAUCCUCAUCAUCGCCUGCUUACGAAAAUAUAAAAAAAACGAAUGUUCAAUAAAAAUUUCUCCCGAGUGAAAGUAACCUCUGUGCUUGCAUGUAAUUUGUGACUACGUCAAGUAAAUUACCAUGUGAUUUACAUCAAAAUUACUGCGGGUAUGUUUCAACAAUUUGUUUGGAUCAACAUUUGUGUAGGUACAAAGUCUCGAUAAGGUGGAUUCUUCGCUCUGUUUAUUAGCAACCAGGAUCAACUCUAAAUGGCAAAGGAAAUUUGUUGCCUGUAUAGCGUACAAAUUAGAAAACUAGUUCAUAAAUGUGUCAAAGGUUGUGCUAGCAUAGUGGCCAGUGCCUCUUUGUAUCAUGUACUGGUCCAGAGUUCGAAUCCUGUUCACAAUGUAAUUUUUUGGCUUAAAAAAAGUGCAACAAUGAGAGAGAAAAUGGGUAACGUCCAAAAAUCACGGCAACCUCCCAUUAAAAGCCCCUGCUAAAAUCGCGGCGACCGGUGACCUCCCACAAAACGUGAAACGGCAACCUUAAAUCGCUACCUAAAAUAAUAGCCAGGCGAUCACGAUCCAACGGCUCCGACAUCGUCCGGAUCUGUUGCAAAAAUUCGGACGGCAGGAAUAUAGCUUUCUCGUUUUAAAAACAGUAAGAUAUAAAAAAGAUCUGGUUUUGGGGCAAAUAAACAUUGUCAAAUUGUCUAUAUACGUGCAAAUUUUCAUGAAAGUGGGAAAAAAACAUGCUCCAAAAUGCUUUAACAAAGUCUUUUUGGAGCAUUUUUUUGCCCAAACCAUUUAGGAAAAAAAAUUCACGAAAAUUGGUUGGACGUAGACAACUCUUCAGGCCUGCUUGGAUUAUUGUUUGGCCCCGAAUACCCCCAUAAAAUGAUACACACCUCUGUGCGUCAUGUUUUUCCAGCCGGAAGUCACGCUGUUUCUGGUAUUAUACACGUGUAAACUAAAUCCGGACGUAAAAACUUACACCUAUUCCAAGCGGGCCCUCAUUGUUUGUUGCCAAAAAAAUCAGAAAUUUAUAAUUUAUUUAAUUUUACUGUCCAUGAGGGGGUAUUUGAGCUCAAGUAGUCCACUUACAAUUUAUAUCUGUUGUCAUGACAUACAUAUCAUCUCAAAAAUUCACCUUACAGAAAAGUUAAAACACAAAGCUAGGAAAUUUUUGUUUUUUAUUUUUAUAUUUUUAGCCAAAAAUUAUGCGACCAGGAGGGAUGGUAGUGCCUCUACUUCAUUUUAGACAAGAGAAUUCGCUAGGCCUUGCUUAAAAAUGCAAAUCAUUUUUUAUAUUUAAAACAAUAUUUAGUUAUUGUUGGAAAUACAUUAAUAUGUCUAUAUUUUUCUUAAAAAUUAUAUAAGCCGCGAGGCUUAAAAAUUCCCAUCAUUUUUUAUUUAAAACAAUAUUUAGUAAUUGUUGGAAUACAUUAAUAUGUCUAUAUUUUCAUUAAAAUACUAGGCUGGACGAGGCUUAAAAAUGCCCGUCAUUUUUUUAUUUAAAACAAUAUUUUAGUUAUUGUUGGGAUACACUAAUAUGUCUAUAUUUUCAUUAAAUUCUAGGCUCGGCCGAGCUUAAAAAUGCCAAGCCUUUUUAUUAAACCAUUAUUUAGGUUAUUGUUGGAAUUAUAUACAUUAAUAUCUCUACAUUUUCAUUCCCCUAAAAAAUGCCUUUAUUUUCAUUAAAAUUCUAGGUUGCAGGCCUUCAGACCGAAAACCAUAUCCCGAGCCCUUGGUCGUCCUGUCCAAAACCCUAGAAUUUCAUCAACGCAAUUCUCGGUCGCCUCCCCCGCCUCAACCCACCUUCUUCUGCACCCUUGUCUCCUUUAGAUGGGGAUGAAGCUCCAUCCUUGCCCACCGUGUCGUCGGUGGCUCUGAUCUACCCUAACAUCAUUGCCUUUGGCUAUUUCCAAUCGAUGGUGGACCUUGUACCCAAAGGGCAUAACAAAGGGUUGGGGGUCUUCUUUCGAGUGGAGCGGCAACAUAUAGUCGUCAUCUUUUAGAGCUGUAGGAGCCAAAAGCGUGAGGAUGGUGGCGGUGCUACAGUCAUAUGGACGAGAAGGCAUCACUUGGCUGGUGUUCACGCCAAACAUUUGUGUUAGGGCGGUGGCACUUUAGUGAUGUGUGAGCAUGCCGUGACAUGGGCAUUUGCCAUAUGGUCUCUAAGAUUGAUAAUGGAGGUAUGUCGUCCUGACAGGUUCGACGCCCUUUGGGUGUUGCUCCUCUUACUAUCACAGAAGGUGGUGGGUUUUUCCUCCAUUUGAGGUUGUAGGAGAGAGAUAUCCUGUCAUGUGUGGAAUUUAUGUGUGAUGCAGUAGUGGGGCUUUUACCCACCGGUGCAGACAUUGGCUCAGUAGUAGGGGAUGGAGGACUACUAAUUUGGUUUGAUAUAAGAUGAUAUUGGUCAAGUCGAUGGAGGAGUUCCGACAGUAGCCAAGGUGGCUAUCUAUGGGGGGGGAGGGGACUAGUCACACCAUCGUGGAUUCCUCUAAAAUAACCGGUGGAGUAUCUAUUGUAAGAUUCACUGUCAAGAAAAUGAAUAGAGCACCACUCCAUAUGCAACCUACAUUCCGACCUUGACUCAAUGGAGCCAACAAUGUUAGUUUUGUGUUGUCCCGUUGCUAAAGGUGUUGUCUUCGUGUUGAUGCUCUCAUCUUUAUUGGUUGGAUUUGACAUUUAGGAUGAAAUGGAUAAGGCUGUGGCUAGACCUCAGUUGAUUGUUUAGCUAAAUUUCACCUCCAACUGACAUCAGGAUAUGAUGUUUUGCCUUUUCCUUUUCUUGUCUUUGUGUUUCUACUUCUUUUUCUUCUUUCACACAUGUCCAACAAGGGAUGUGCAACUGUAGGUGGUGUAUGAAUGUUUGAGCCACUAGGGCAAACAUUGGCCAAGUCAUAGGAGAUGGAGGACUACUAAUUUGGUUUGAUAUAAGAUAUUGUUCAAGCCGGUGGAGGACUUCCGGUAGUAGCCUAGGUGGCUAUCUAUGGUAGAACUAGUCACACCCCUGUCGAUUCUCCUAAAAUAACCAGUGGAGUGUCUAUUGUAAGAUCCACCAUCAAGAAGAUGAAUAGAGCACCACAACAUAUGCGGCCCACAUUCUCGGAUCCAUUGCGAAAGCCACUCGCGGCGCUACAGCCUACAUGAAUCCUGCCUAUGGCGACGGGCGACACGGCGAGUCGGCGACAGUUCCUCUCCUCACACCAAAACAAAAUCAAUCGCACCCAGACUCCGGAGCGCCGGCGACGGGCGACACGGCGAUAGUUCGUCAGUUCCUCUCGCCAAAAUAGGUAGCCUCCGGGCUCCGGCUGGCUAAUCCUUCUCUUUAAUUAACCUCGACUCCUACUUCUAAUUCCUAAUUAACUUUUGGAACGCAAGCACGUUCCACUGCCGCACGGGCAUUCCACCACCAUAGGGUACAAGGAGACAAGGAUCUGCUGCGCGAGCCCAUGGAGCUGGCGUGGUUCGUCGGGCUGUCUCUCCGCCGCCGAGGGGGAUACAUCUUCUCCUUACGCCUCGUUUGACAUGGGAGGUUUUGCAGCCCCGGAGUGGAGGGGGAUGUGAGGGGAUUUGGUUAAUCCCUCUCUUCCACCCAAUCCCCUUAAUUCCUCACUAAUCCCUCCACCCUCAUAAACCCCUCUAUUUGGUUAAACAUUUUACAACAACAGCAACAAAGCAAGCGUCCAGUUCCAUGGAUGCCUUGAAGGGUUUUCUGUACCAUAUGGAUUAAGGGGGGUUCGUGGGGAACGGACAGGAUUGGCCUGCUCAAUCCCUACGUGUCAAAUGGGCCGACAAGGAUUUCUGGGGAUUUUGAACCCUGCGAGGAUAUUCCCCUCCAAACCUCCCCAAACCUCCUCCACCAAACAAGGCCUUAAGCACCUGGAAUCAUUACAACGGGCCACUUGGAUCCCCUCCGCCUGUUCAGUUCAUUCUUGGCAUUGAUUCAGUCUUGUCGACGACGUACGAGUAGCACAGUGAUUCAGUAUUGUUGACGAUGUCCAAAAUUCAUUUCUCUUGCUAUGCAAAUUCUGUUUAUGUAUUGUCCAAAUUUUAGUGUUUUGUUGUCCAAAAAUUCAUUGUAUGUGCUGUCCAAAUUUCAGUGUUUUGUUGUCCAAAAAUUCAGAAUUGGUGUUAGUUAUCCAAAUUUCAGUGCGUAGAUAGACCGUCUAAAUUUUAGUUUAUAUGCUCUCCAAAUUUCGGUGUACUUUCCCUGCUAUUUUACUGCCAUUUAUCAAAUGGUUUGCAGCCUUUCAUCUAGUGAUUUCAGUGUACCAAGGUUGGCUUUGACCCUCUGUUCUCUUCUGUUUUCCUAAGCACCCACGAGCUUGCAUUGUUGCAAGGACGAAUAUGCUGAUCUCGUAAUCAAUAGAACAAAAGGUACUGAGUAUUUAAUAUUUCUACUGAAAUACUAUUAUUUUUGCAAAUUACUGAAAUACUACUAUAUAUGAUUUCGAAAAAAUAAUCAGGUCCCUCAUUUAGUUUAGUCCACCUAUUUAUUUUUCUUUGUAGCUCCGCCACCAAAAGAUGGGCCCCAGUUUAAAGUUUGGCACAGGGCCCCGGAUAUUGCCGGCCCGGCGCUGUGCAAAGUUGAAAUUCAUCUGAAAUACAAAGCACCUCAAACAUAGAUGUUUAUCUUAAAAGAAGUGGGAACUUUUUUUUGACUCAGAAAAUAUGUCUUCCAUUAACCAACUGGUGCAGCAGAGUCGCUCGCAACCAAAACAUUUACAAUGCCAGGCAUAUGAACGCAAAUGUUUUGGUCACUUUCUGAUAGGUCGCUCUUUGCUGGUCAUUCAUCUACUCUGUCCGUAGAACAUUUUCGAACUCGUAGCAUAAUGUCGAAUUCGUCGACGAUGCGUGUGAAACUCACUCGCCGGUUUGUACGACAGGGACACAGGUAACUCGCCAGAACCUCUCUCGAGUCUCACGUACGUGUAACGUAGCGGGAGUCAAAGAGUCGUGCGUCUGCAUGCAAACCCACGAGGAGGCCUCUACAGUUUUUUUAUCCGGGCAAUCGAGCGGGCGAGCUCUGUGCGCCAACCAAACCACCACCACAGACCAGACUCACCAGACAUGACGCCUCCUCCGCCUCCCACCACCGCGCUGCCACGCCCCUCCCUCCUCCUCGCGGUCUCCUCCGCCGCGCUCAAGAUCUCGGCCGCGGCGGCGACGAGCCCGGCGCGCGGCGUGCGGUGGCAGGGGGUCGGGGUCGACGGGAGGAGGGGGAGGAGCCGGGCCGUCGGGAGGUGCUGGGCGGCGGCGGUGGAGGAGGAAGCCGGCGCGCAGGAGGACGGCGUGCUGCUCCCCCAGGAGGGGAGCGAGGCGGCCGGGAGGUACGACUGGCGGGAGGAGUGGUACCCGCUGUACCUGUCCAAGGAGGUGCCCGACGACGCGGCGCUCCCGCUCACCGUCUUCGACCGCCAGCUCGUGCUCUACCGCGACGCCGACGGCGUGCUCCGCUGCCACGAGGACCGAUGCCCGCACAGGCAUACCAUCUUUCUCUGAGUGUCUGAAAAUUACUGCCGGUUAUUUUCUGCUCUCGAUCACUGCUACUCUGCAGCCAUUCGGUGAUCGUGUCUGUCACUGUGUUUGCCACAGCAGCUCGCUGACUUACAAUUGUACAGUAUAUGUUCAUCUCGUUUCAGAAUAACAUUUCGUGCACCUGGUCAAUCUGCAGAUGAUCGAUAAUUACACCUGUGCUGUGUAGCUCCUCUAAUUCAGAUGAUCGAUCUGCAGGUUAGCCAAGCUGUCGGAAGGGCAGCUCGUCGACGGCAAGCUGGAGUGCCUCUACCAUGGCUGGCAGUUCGACGGCGAGGGCAAGUGCGUCAAGAUCCCACAGGUUUGAAUCAAUUCCAUUCUUGGAUCAGUGCAAACGCAUGAGAAAAUCCAAUGCUUGAUUCAUGUACUAUGUGAUGAUGGUGGCAACUGACGAUGCGCGUGCAGCUGCCUGAGGGCGCCAAGAUCCCGCGGAACGCGUGCGCGCGCAACUACGAGGUGCGGGACUCGCAGGGGGUGGUGUGGGUGUGGAUGUCGCCGGCGACCCCGCCGGACGCCAAGAAGCUGCCGUGGUUCGAGCCGUACGCGCGGCCGGGGUUCACGGACCUGUCGACGGUGCACGAGCUCCCCUACGACCACUCCAUCCUGCUGGAGAACCUAAUGGACCCGGCGCACGUGCCCAUCUCGCACGACCGCACCGACUGGACGGCCAAGCGGGAGGACGCGCAGCCGCUGGCCUUCGAGGUCGCCGAGCGCACCGCCCGGGGCUUCGCCGGCCACUGGUGGCGCGAGCGCGCGCCGCACCUCCGCAACCUGCUCCGCUUCGAGGCGCCCUGCGUGCUCACCAACACGCUCGAGUUCGUGGACAAGGACGGCAGGGAGCAGUGCUUCUCGGCGCAGUUCCUCUGCCGGCCGGCGGGGCAGGGCAAGUCGAUGCUGCUCGUCCGGUUCGGGUCGACGGCGAGGUCGCCGCUGCUGAGGGUGCUGCCCAAGUGGUACUUCCACCAGAACGCGUGCAAGGUGUUCGAGCAGGACAUGGGGUUCCUGUCGUCGCAGAACGAGGUGCUGCUCCGGGAGAAGGUGCCCACCAAGGAGCUCUACCUCAACCUCCGAUCGUCGGACACCUGGGUGGCCGAGUACCGGCGGUGGAUGGACAGGGCGGGGCACGGCAUGCCAUACUACUUCGGCCACAGCACCAUCUCGCCGCCGCCCGUGCCGGCCGUGGUCGAGCAGGCGCCGGCGGGGGCCGCCGCGGGCAUCUCCGCGUCCUUCCCGGCCAAGGGCGGCUUCGGCACGCAGCACGCGCCCAACCCGACCAGCAGGUACUUCCGGCACGUCGUGCACUGCAAGGGGUGCAGGGACACCGUCAACAGGUACACCGCCCUGAAGAAGGCCUUCGUCGUGCUCGCCGCCGUGGCCGCCGCCGCGGCCGUCUUGGCGGCGACGAGGCAGUGGAAGGCCAUCUUGCUGGGCGCCGCCGCCGUGCUCGCCGCGGCGUCGUAUGCGUGCGGUUCCGUGGUUUCUUUGAUCACAACCAACUUCAUUAGGACACACAGAAGAUUGUAAACAAGCAGAGGCCGGGAUAAGAUCAUACUGUCAGCGCAUUUUAAUUUAGUCAGCUAGAAACACUUCUCCGUUUUUACCCUUGUUUAUAUAUCUAUACUAGCAUCAUUUUGCCAUCAGAAAUUGCAUGGCAAGACGAGUUCAUAAACCUAAACUGGAUUUUUAACUUCUCAAGAACACUUUCUUCCACGUAGUGUAUAUGUAAAAAAAAAUAGCUAUGCAAUAAAAAAAAUAGAGUGAGUCUGUUCAGAUUAGAAAUCAUGAAAAUAACAUACAGCGCAUGCAUUUCAUUCAUUCGCACUUAGGCAACACACCAAUGAAACAGAGAUAGAUCAACUUCAAUAUAUAUACAACCAAAGACCGUAUCUUCACUGUUGAAAUACUGGCAACAAUGCCUUAGGUCACACAUUAUGCAGACCAGACUCGACAACGUCACACAAACACCGGCUCCUUGCCAUGGGUUUGCUUACACAAUAUUACAGACCAGAAUACAGAUAGUCAGCUUAGCCAUCACAGCCAAAACACGUUCGAUACGAUACAAUACGUAGGUGGCUCCAAUCAGAUGAUGCACUAGCAGGUAUGCACUAGCAGGUAACCAGGUCGAUCUAGAACUCCCUGUCUGGGAACAGGAGGGGAGCAACAAGGGACCAGAUGAACAGACCUGCUGUUGCCCACUGGGUCGCGAUCCUGACCCAGACAGACGGCCACCCGACAUCGACAAGCUUUCCGCUCUCGCCAACCGAGGUCGACCAGCCAGUCAGGAGCAUCGCUGAGUACAUGCUUGCCAGGGAGAAGAUGAGGUGGAAGAACGAGUAGGAGUAUGUCACCGGCUUUGGCACGUCCUUAGUCUCCUCCUCGUCCGCUUUGCUGAAGGGGAGCAGUGGCUUGUCGGCACCUGAAAGAAACACCGGCGAAUUUAGCAAGUUGCAACACGCACGCACACACACUACAUAAUUAAUUAAUUCAGUGGCCAGAGAACAAAAUCCAACCGGCGCGUGGUGAGUCUGGUGCUGAGAGCACGGUUGCAGAAGAGCCAGCACGAACAGCAGAGUAGACCACAGAAAGGAUGGUGGUACAUAAUCCCAACGUAAGGCUACCAGUUGACAUAGCUUUGGAGUGAUUGUGAAGCCCGUUGCACUCAUAAUCCCUUGGCUCACUGGAGAGUCCGCUGUAGCACAAGUAUGUGCAGUAAAGGCCUAUAACUGAUGCAGGCAGCAAGCUUCCAUUGACCUGCCCAAACCAUAAACCCCAAAUUAAUCCUUCUUAUAAACCAAAAAAACUAUCAUAGAACAGUACAAUAGACCAAUAGCAUCGAUUGCUUGUAUCCUAACUAGUAGCUAAAAGUCCUAAAAGAAAUCUAAGGAGCAGAUCUACAUAGCAAUUACCGUAAUGCACAAAGACAAUCAUGUGAUUUUCAUGGCAUAGCAGUGAGCAAAAACAUUAUGGAUCAACCAAACAUGACAGUAACAAAAGCUAAGUUGUAGGAGAAUGUGAAAAUAAGAAUACCUUUGGGUGCAGCGCAACAAUAGCGAACACAAAAACAAGAAUCAGUGUGGAGACAAUGAAGAACAUAUUGAGUCCGCAGUCCUGCCCCGAUGGAGUGAACCAGUGAAAGAGUAGACCCGAGAAAGCGAAUGAGCCAAUAUAACAAACAACCGAUACAACCAACAGAGCCAUGUACCUACAUUGAUGAAGAGUAAGUAAAAAUAUAUUUUGAACAGAACUAAGAUGCAUUCCUUAAACCAAUGGAAACACAGCUAACUGAAGGACGAAGACAAGGUACCCACCAGAACUGUUCAUCUUUAGCAACCCAGUUCUCAUUCCAUCCGUGCACGAAGUCCAACAGAAGAACAACCUGAACGAGAAGGAACAGUCCAGAUCCAAACUUGGAAAUCGAUUCUGCAGAAAUAUAUGACUACAGUAAGCACCACCUUCAGUAAAAUAAACUUUUAUAAUGAUGACACUGCAGUUUCCAGUAAAGCAAAUAGCAUAAUACACUAGUCCAAAACGUAUUGACAGUUUCAAUUGGGAGUAUUAGCCGAUGGUUUAUGAGUUCUAUAUUGCCUAAAGAAAGAGUACAGAAGCGAACAGCUAGGUUAAACCACAAGACAGCAAAAGGGUAUCAGUUUUUUCAAAAAUUAUUAAAUAACGCCUCGGGUACAAUCCCAAACCAUGACUCAGGUUUUAUUAAACAAGCAAAUAAGCAAAGAUAGACAGCAACAGUUGAUGUCUCUGAUAGCAGGAGCAAAUUUUAAUCCAAAUCUAAUCAGCUUAAAUUUUGUUAAGGAAAGGGAGACAGAAAAUAUUUGUAGGAACAGCCUUGCAACGCAGACUCCAUACAACGAUAACCAUGAUUGACAGCGCCAACAUUUCUUUACACCUUUCUAAUGCAAUAGAAUGUCUAGCCAACAGCUCAAUCACAUUUUGACUAAUUUCCAUAUCCCUGUAUUCACAAUUGUUUAGCCUUUCCUUAUGCUAUCAUUAUCAGGAUCCUAGUAUAUAUCUCGAUAACAUAGAAUCGACAUACCCACAUUUGUUUUGCAUAUUAGUUAUUCUACAGUACCAUCUAUUCUUUUGAUUCAGUGAUCCCCAUCUGAUAUUAUUGUUUGGUCCAAGAAGUGCCUACAUGAACCCUUUCCGUUCAUUUUCUAGUGCAUGCUAGAAUCAAAAGUGCAAAACAAAAGAGUCACCCCCUGAAGAAACCUUUCCGGGAAUUUUGAGGGAAGGGGCAACCAAUAUCUCCUAUGAUUUUAUUAUUUUUAAGUGUAAUGCCUUGCUAUUCAUUUAGGCGAUUAGUAGUUUCACUCAACCAAAUGUUAUCCAUCCUAGUAUGCAGUAUCUGAACGAUUAUGUUCACCAUGUGCGGCAGAUAUCAGGCGGACUAGUAUAUUACAACCAGCUGCGUGCGUGAGCGGAAGGAAAAAGGGUCUCUCACUCACCGUAGAAGCUGACGACGCCGUUGGGGACGAAGAACAUGAGGAAGACGAUGACGACCCAGCAGAAGAUCUUGGCCAUCCAGCCGCCGUGGUGGACCUUGUCGCGCGGGUCCUUCUGGUCCUUGAUGCCGGCCAUGAUGGCGGCGAGGAUGGUGAAGAAGAGGAAGUUGCCGAGGCUGACCCUGAGCACGGCGUCCGUCUCGAACCACUCGCGGUCCGGCGUCUUGUGGAAGUGGUUGAUCCCUGCAACGGAGAACGAGCGUCGCCGGUCAGAUCGCGCGGAAACGAAUUCGGGGGUUAGGUUAGGGUAGGGUAAGGGCGAGGGGGCGGGGCGUACAUGGGAUGGACUGGAGGAGCGGCGCGGCGACCUCGCGGAGCACCCAGGAGGCGAGGAGGGAGAGCGCGAAGAGGCCGCAGUAGGCGAUCCGCGCGGAGCGGCGGCCGAUGCUGCCGACGGCGGUGCGGCACGCCUCGCACGCGCAGGCGGCGCAGCAGGACGCCAGGCACGACGCGGCCCACAUGGCGGCGGCUCUCCUCUUCUCCGGCGGCGAUCAGUCGGGAGCCGAACCGAAUCGAAUCGAUCGGAAGGGGGCGGCGAUGGAGCUCGCGCGACGCCUCUGUCUGGGGUUCGAUUUGGGGAAUUUGUGGGGAACGCGUGUUGGGGAGGGGACGGCAGGGAGGAGGAGGAGAAGUGGAUUCGGUUGCGGUCGCGGAUUUGUUAUUCUUCGGGUGGCCGCCGGGCCGUGGGGUUGGGUUGGGUUGGGUUGGGUUGGACCGGAUAAGGAGACCGGGUCCGAUUAAUCUUUUCUGGUUGUAGGUUGCAGGUUGCCAUUCAAUAGAUCAAUCUUCCUCAAAAAAAAAAAAAUCAAUAGAUCAAUGAAACACGCUCCAAGCAUGAUGUUAUUCCUCUCCGCUGCAUUUGGCUAUGUUUUUCCCCAAGCCAGCCAAAGGCUAAAUGAACAUCGUAUUGUACGUCGUCGUGUCACACGCAUGUUAGACCCAUAGGGCAGGCUAUACGCUGUCGGGGUUAGUUGGUUGGUUGAGUCUACCUUGUUGAAUCGUCCUUUUGCUGUCGUGACCCGUGGACGGAUAGCUCUCUUGUCCGUCUUGCAUACGUUGGUUCCCGUCAGGUGGGUGUGGAUGUGCUUUGCCUAGCUGGCCUGCUAUUGUUGUUGCCCCCCAAAAGAUGGCGUGUUUAGAGCGUCCACCGUGAUUUUGGACUCUGUGGCCUGGUUGGUUUUCUCAUUCGGCGUGCGUGUGUGUUGGACGUGUUGUAUGAUCGAACGCUUUGAUCGGUGGAUUUGGCAUGGCCUCCUACGGUAUGCUCACUGAUCUCACUCUCCCCUAGUAAGUGAAUUGUUUGGUCGGCUCCCUUGCUUUUCUUCCGCUCACGUGAUUCUGGGUGGGAGUGGGCAGCUCCGACGCCGUUUGACGUGGAGUGUGUGGUCGGUCUUCAUUACCAACCCGCCUGCUCUGUUGCCCGUUCCUCUUUUUGGCUGUAUAUAUGUUUGGCGAUGCCUUAUGGAGCGGGAUGCUCCACGACCACCGACAACACACCCGAGAUCAUUUUGAUGUCGUUUGUUUUCUUACGAUCGAUGUUGUAAGUAAGUAUGAAACGUUACAUUUAAGCUCAUGGUUAUUUUCACGGUUGCAAAAUGAAGGAAGGCAUGCCAAACGAGGUUGCCCAUACGUUUGUAUUCAAUUCGGUUGGGCAUGCUCGUUUCGCCAUCUUCAAAGACCCGAGUGGACGCGAAUCAACCUGUGGUUGAGUUGGUUAGGUGGACAGUGGUAUCCCCAACCCACCAGGGUUCAAAUCCUGGUGCUCGCAUUAUUCCUAAAUUUAUUUCAGGAUUUCCGGCGAUGCGCUUUCAGUGGGAGGAGACGUUUCCGUCGACGACGAGGCGCCUAUGAUGCCUUCGUAAAUCUCAAGAUGAUAUGCCGGCUCAGUCUCUCGGAGGUGCUCAUAGGGGUAUGGUGUGCGUGUGUGCGUUCAUAGGGAUGAGUGUAUACGCGUGUAUAUGAGCGCUUGUGUCUGUACUGAUGCUCAAAAAAAAAGACCCGAGUGGACAGUUACAGUUUCGACAUACACCGACCCGCACACGCUGAGAAAGGUGGUUAUGCGAUGCUCCUGAACAAACUACUGCAACAAUGUCUUUUGCAGAUGGAUUUUAACGAACAUGGUCAAUAAAGUAUUCAGGUCUUGUGGUUUGCCUGGAUGGUAUUUUAGAGUGCCUGCCUGGCUUUUGGACUAUGCGGCCUGACACAUGUUGUAUGAUUGUGUUUUUCCCUUGAAUUGGCUGAACGUUUCGCUCGGUGGCUUUGGCACAAUCUCCUACUUGUGCUUGCUAAUGUCACACUCUCCCCCAGUCAGUGAAUCGUUUGGUAGCCCCCCUUNNNNNNNNNNNNNNNNNNNNNNNNNNNNNNNNNNNNNNNNNNNNNNNNNNNNNNNNNNNNNNNNNNNNNNNNNNNNNNNNNNNNNNNNNNNNNNNNNNNNNNNNNNNNNNNNNNNNNNNNNNNNNNNNNNNNNNNNNNNNNNNNNNNNNNNNNNNNNNNNNNNNNNNNNNNNNNNNNNNNNNNNNNNNNNNNNNNNNNNNNNNNNNNNNNNNNNNNNNNNNNNNNNNNNNNNNNNNNNNNNNNNNNNNNNNNNNNNNNNNNNNNNNNNNNNNNNNNNNNNNNNNNNNNNNNNNNNNNNNNNNNNNNNNNNNNNNNNNNNNNNNNNNNNNNNNNNNNNNNNNNNNNNNNNNNNNNNNNNNNNNNNNNNNNNNNNNNNNNNNNNNNNNNNNNNNNNNNNNNNNNNNNNNNNNNNNNNNNNNNNNNNNNNCUAACCCGCCCGCCUGCUCCAUGCCUGCUACACGUGCCACCCAUAGCUUGCUUAACUUCUGGUUGUAGUUGGUCUAUGCGGGUCGGUUUGCACUACUAACCCGCCCGCCUGCUCCAUGCCUGCUACACGUGCCACCCAUAGCUUGCUUAACUUCUGGUUGUAGUUGGUCUAUGCGCUGUUGUAAACAGUUAGGGAAAAAACCAUCACAAAACAGAGUCUCAUGUCACCAAAAGUAAUCCGCCAAGAAAAACUAUGGGCAAUGAUCAUCGUCAAAGCAAAUAAAACGCAGUAUGAGCAUAAUCAUUUGCAAACAGUUGGGGAGAAAAAUCCUUCAAAUAUUUCGCUUAACUUCCAGCCUGCAGUUGGUCUCUACGCCAAUUGACGCAAUGAGUCAUCUAGUAUUGUUCAAAGUAGAAGGUUAUCCCAUAUGAGAAAGUUUUAUUUGCUCUAGAAGGCAGAGCAACAAUGGUGGAUUUAGCGUGGUGCUACCAUUGAGAUGCAACACACAUAUUUAAUUGCAUCACACAGUAUGACAUGGCAAUGAACAAUUAGUGGUCCAUUUAUUUAUCGUACUUGAAGUUUAAAAUAUGGUACAAAGAAAUUUUCCGGCAAUGCCUCAUAGGCUCCUUUGAGAAGAAAAAGGAGAAAAAUUUCUCAUGAGCUAACUAAUAUUCAAGCUAAUAAUGGUUCUUGAAUUGGCACCAAAGCAGAAUUUUGAAUAUAACUACAAGACAAAAUUACUCCUAUGAAAGAUGAAAAUUCGAAUACAUCAACCAAGAGCACGAGCUUUCACUCCCUACUUGCUAGUGUAGAGCGAGAAAAAUAGAUAAAGCUACAAGCAUAUGAAUUUAAGAAGUUUUAUUCUAGAAAGUAGGAGCUUUAGCAUUUCGUUCAUUUAACAUACAUAGAUAUUUUGUAAGAGUAGCUCGUUAGGCCAAAAAGGGGUUGGCAACCGAGUUGUUAGCAGGAAUGCAAUCCAGCUAUAAACAAGGAAAAAUGUGUUCCAUUUCCUAUAGAGUUUGUCUUCUUCUAAUUACUCUCUUUUAUGUUUUCAAAUUAAAAUACACAAUGAAUAAUAAAAUACAUAAAUGGUCAUGCAUUCUGUGGUCCCUCCUCUUUUUAUCCGGGCUUGGGACCGGCUAUGCAUAGCAUAGGUAGAGUUACCCACCCACCCUCCAAACACAUUAGCACAUGAGUAAGACAACCAUUGGUUUUGAUGGACAGCAAAAUUUGCUGUCCACCACUACCAAGAAUUGCCUUGCCCUUUGAGUAGCCUUAAGCAAGAAAGGAUCUCCUUAAUUUUAAGGUCGAGCCAAGUAACUAUAGCAAGGCUCAUGUUGCCCCUUGCAUAGGCUUACUUUUUGCACCAAAUAAGCAAGACAACUCUUGGUUUUGAUGGAUAGCAAAAUUUGCUGUCCAUCAUUAGCAAGAAUUGCCUUGCCGUUUAAGUAGCCUCAAGGGUUCCUUGAUUUUGAGGGAGCCAAAUGACUCUAGCAUUGUUCUUUGCAUACAAUUAUUUAUGCAUCGGACGAGCAAGGAAAUCCUUGGUUUUGAUGAAGAGCAAAAUUUGCUUUCCACCACUAGCAAGAAUUGCCUUGCCCUUGAGUAACCUUAAGAGAGUAGGGAUUUCCUUGAUUUUGAUGAAAAACCAAAUGGCUCUUCUACACUAGCAAGGAUCACCUUAACAUUUGCUUAGCUUUACAUUUGUAUAACUGAGCAAAGAUUGUCUUGAAUCUUUAGGAGCAAAAUAUGCUCUUCUACCUUUGCGCCAAGUGAGCAAGGCAAUCAUUGUUUUUGAUGGAGAGAAAAAUUUGCUCUUUGUCACUGGCAAUGAUUGCCUUGCCCCUUGAGUAUCUUAAGUGAGCAAGGGUUUCUUUCAUUAUAAUAAAAGUGAGCAAAAUUGCCUCGCUUUUGUGGAGGAUUAAUCCUCAACGGGCGAGGAUCAUGCCACCCCAUACUUAGCAAAACGAGAAAGAGUUCCCUUGCUUUUGUGGGGAGCCAAUCCUCCACAAGCAAGGGUUUCCAUUUGUUUGCGCAAUGAGCAUAAGACUGUUUACGCAUUCAUGGAGAAUCAACCCUUCACGAGCAAGAUUUUCAUCCCACUUGCCUGGUAUGCACCAGACUUUGGGAGGAAAUGCACGAUUGUAAUGCAACAUUGCUUGAAGCAUGGAGCAAACCAUUGCAUUUGGCAACAUGUACGCCAAUAUCUAUUAUCACGAAAAUAUGAUCAUGAGAAGAAUUAACAACAUAUUCCGUAAUUAAAGAAAAGUUCAAUGAGGUUCAUGCAAUAUGAACUAUUGUAUGUAAACCCAACCACAUUAUCACGACUCAGCCUAAUCGUGACACUUACUUGUGGUAGGAAAAUGAUGCAAUAGUGGAGAUAAUAAACAUGGAGAAUGUUUUUUGUGGUCAAAGUUUUUAUUUAUUAUCACCAACAUCAAAGAAAAUUGCUAUUUCAGAAAGCAUGUGUAGAAAUAUUUGGAAACAAUGUUUCAAUGGAAAUGAAAUUCCAUAAAUGGUUAGCUGUUGGUACAAACUUAUGGAUUCGAGGAUGUACAAUAAGUAAAAAUAUGACUCUCUGAGCUAAUGGAAUUGACAUCAUAUUUUGUAAAUAAAUAAAGGCUCAAUGAGUUUCAAGUAAUGAUUAUAAAUUAUGUAAACCCAGCCUCAUUAUCAUGAAUCAGCUUAAUCCCGACACUUGUUUGUAGUGGGAAAAUGACCCAAUAGUGGAGAUAAUAGAUAAGUACUAGCAUAAUUUGUGUUAUCAAACUUGUAUUUAUUGUCAUCGACAGUAAACAAAGUUACUAUUUCAGAAAGCAUGUCUAGAAAUACUUCGAAACGAGAUUCCAAUAAGAAUGAAAAGAUAUUCAUAAAUGGGUUGCGCAGGUAUACAUUAAACUUAUGGGCAUAAUAAGAAAAAAAUUAUUGACUUGCUGAGCUCACAUAUUCCCAUCUCGCUGAGUUCAUCAGUUACUUACCACGGCAAAAUGUCUGCAAAGAGGGACAGGACCGAAGCUCGAGCGCGUGCGGAGCGCAACGCCGGCAUCCGGACCCAGCAUCCCAACACCCCCCCUGCGGCCAAUCCAGGAGGAGUGAGGGCGAGGUGGGAGGAGACAUGAAAGCCAGAGCCCGGAGGAGAGCAUGCAGUAGGGGACGAUGAAGCAGGGGGGCUGGACGGCGAGGGCCAGCCCGCCGAUCAGGAGCACCGCCGUCGGCCGGUUGAUGCGGCGGACCAGAGGUGGGUGUGUGAGAUGCUUCUUCCUCCCUCUCAAGUCUCAAGUGCUAACCAACUAUUGUAUCUUCAACAAGAAGUGCUAACCAACAGAGUUAUUAUUAGCUCAAUUAAUUUGGUGACAAUCAAGUAGCUCAUGCUUUGGAUGCGUUCUGUCGUUUGCUAUGCCGGCGUGUUAAUAUAUUCACGAGAGGAGGCAAAAAAUCAAGCCACUAGAAGCUCAUAUAUUGGUGAAAGUUUCGCUUUCAUUGAUUUCUGGAUGUUUCUUUUUUUGAGCUGCAUUUCUGGAUGUUUCGAGUGAAUUGAUAUUUUGCACCUCUAAGCGAAGCAGACAAGCAUCACCUUGGAAGCUACUGUACUCAUCAACUGUUAGUCAACAUAAUAUUACAUGGACCAGUAAAAACUCCAUGAGCAGCAGAAUAUACCAAGCAAAGCAUCCAACCAUCAGAUAUGCAUAUGACCAGACCUGACCAAUUGUGCCAUAGAUGUUUCUUAGUUCAGAUAACUAUAACAGGAAUGGUUCUACUUCUAGGGCCAUACGAAAACCCCUCUAACUAGAUAUCACAUCCAGCCAACUACAACAGAGCUCCAAUUAAACGCCCACCGGCUGUGCACACACAGACGUCGCG